CCUACGGGAGGCAGCAGUGGGGAAUUUUGGACAAUGGGCGAAAGCCUGAUCCAGCAAUGCCGCGUGAGUGAAGAAGGCCUUCGGGUUGUAAAGCUCUUUUGUCAGGGAAGAAACGGUGAGGGCUAAUAUCCCUUGCUAAUGACGGUACCUGAAGAAUAAGCACCGGCUAACUACGUGCCAGCAGCCGCGGUAAUACGUAGGGUGCAAGCGUUAAUCGGAAUUACUGGGCGUAAAGCGUGCGCAGGCGGUUUUGUAAGUCUGUCGUGAAAUCCCCGGGCUCAACCUGGGAAUUGCGAUGGAGACUGCAAGGCUAGAAUCUGGCAGAGGGGGGUAGAAUUCCACGUGUAGCAGUGAAAUGCGUAGAGAUGUGGAGGAACACCGAUGGCGAAGGCAGCCCCCUGGGUCAAGAUUGACGCUCAUGCACGAAAGCGUGGGGAGCAAACAGGAUUAGAUACCCUGGUAGUCCACGCCCUAAACGAUGUCUACUAGUUGUCGGGUUUUAAUUAACUUGGUUAACGCAGCUAACGCGUGAAGUAGACCGCCUGGGGAGUACGGUCGCAAGNUUAAAACNCAAAGGAUUGACGGNNGAGAGNGCGAGACGACGACGAGGGAGAGG
rnacentral:rRNA from 1 species